rnacentral:rRNA from 1 species
GUGCCAGCAGCCGCGGUAAGACGUAGGGGGCUAGCGUUGUCCGGAUUUACUGGGCGUAAAGCGCGUGCAGGCGGUUCGUUAAGUCCCGUGUUAAAGCCUCCGGCUCAACCGGAGAACGCCGCGGGAUACUGGCGAGCUUGAGGGCGGUAGAGGGUGAUGGAAUUCCCGGUGUAGCGGUGAAAUGCGUAGAUAUCGGGAGGAACGCCAGUGGCGAAGGCGGUCACCUGGGCCGUCCCUGACGCUGAGACGCGAAAGCUGGGGGAGCGAACGGGAUUAGAUACCCUCGUAGUCC